ACAGCGCAAGGCACAGAGUAAAGCUUAACAAAUAUUUGUUAAAUAAAUCAAUGUCCAGUACCAAUUCAGCUGCCUUUUCCCCAUGGAAAAUAGGCUGUAGGAUCUCUGCUCUCACCUUCCCACUAUCACUUCCUGGUCUUCUCCAUUACAAGUGAACUGUAGUCUUGAAACAUCCCAUCACAAGUAUCUCUACACUCCAUCUAUCCAUUUAUUUAUUCAGAUGUUUACUCUAGGCCAGGCACUGCAUGAGGUACUAAUUAUAAAGACAAACAAGACAAUAUCCUUGACCUUGAAAGUUUGAAGUCUAGUGCAUGAGACAAAUACAUAGAGGUACACACUCCAUGGCAAUAAGGUGUUAUAAGAGACAAAAAAAAAAAAGAGCUAUGGGAGUCCAAAUGAGAAAAUAACUCACUUUGUGAGAGGUAUCAGAGAAGGUUUAACAGGCAAGGAUGUUGGGAUUUGUUUUUACAGAAUUAAUAGUUUACAGAUGAAAGGAUGGAGAAGGUAGCAAAAUCAAAUCUAAAAAAAGGAAGUAGCAUGUAACAAGGUACAAAGUCAUGAAUGAAAGGGCACAGACUGCACAUUAGAAAACGGAGCAUUAAGCAAAGGCAGACCAUGGAAUGAGUGACUGGCAGAUGAGGCUAAAAAACAAGAUGGGGCCAGAUUUUAAAGAGCCUUAGGUUGAAGUACUAAGAAUUAUGAAUCUGAUCCUACAGGACUGUGUUUGCCAACCUUACUCCCAUCAAGGAAUACAAAUAUAAUUUUGUACAGUCCCCCAAGGUGGUUGCUAGCAGCUAAAAGCCAAGAGGCCAGAUAGCUGAGGGGAUCAAUAACUUAAGCAUAUCUGUUGGGACAUCCAGCUACAGGUCAUAAAGAAUCAAUAUAAGAUUUUAAGCAGAUUUUUAAAAAGAAAUCUCACAUGCAAGGCUUGUCCAGGGAAGAAAAGUUCGCAUGAUCAAUCUGUUUUUAAGGAAAUACAUGACAGCAGUUGGAGAAAGGGGGUACGGAGAUGGAACCAGUGCUGAGUGACUAUCACAAGACCAAAAAAGGAACUACUAUAUAAGCUCAAGAGGGCUAAUAGGGACCUGAGUAAAAGAAAAACAAGAAUACGCAUUUGAGGAGAAAGUUCUGAAGUAAGCUCAACAGGGUGUGUGGAUAUCAGGGGGAACUCCCUUGAUCUACAGUUUAGAAAACUGGGAGCUUGGUGGAAGAUAACAUUAUUAACCAUUAUCAGGUAUACAAGGGGAGGAAGCAGUGUUUUUUGUUUGUUUGUUUUUGGUGGGAGUGAAAUGGGAAUCAAAUAUACGACAAUGAUUUUGGCUUGAAAAAUGUUAAGUAUAAAGUACCUGUAGUAGCAGAACACUGUUGAGUAUAGAGUUAGGAAACAAUAUUAGAGUUCAGGAACUAUUUCAACCUUGAAGCUAUAGUUGUGAGAGCUGUGAAUACAGAACUAUGAGCAUUGAAAUAGAGAGGAUUAUACAGUGAAAACACAGAACACUGAGAAAAGGAUAUGAGAGAACCUUAGGGGGAAAUAGAAUUUAAAGGGCAGGCCACAGAAGCCAACAAAGGAGAAUGAAAACCAGAUAAAAGGAGAACCAAGAGAAAGGUUCACACACUUUACACAAAGAUUCCCAAACUUUGCUGUCCAUGUCAAUCACUCAGGGAUUUACAAAAACAAAACAACAACAACAACAAAAAACUGUUGCCUGGCUACUAUCACCCAGACAUUGUGAUUUAAUUGAAGGAUGACAUAUGUACUGGAUAUCCAGAUUUUAAAAAGCUCCAGCUGAUUUUAAUAUGCAACAAAGUUUGCGAACCCCUGAUUUAAAAAAAAAGAAUGAGACUAAAUGUUGACAUGAGAAAAGUGACAUACUUGUACUUGUAAUUUAUUUCCAGAUACUUACCGUAUUUUUUCAAUGAUAUCUUCCAAAAGAUACUCCACAACCGGAAAAGUAAAACCAGUGCUAACAGUCAGGAUAUCUAGAUCCACCAGCUUAUAAGAGAUAACUAGCACCAAAUUAUAAAUAGAGGCAAAGACUGACAAGAACAGACAACUGAUGACACAACUUCAAUGAUAUUUCUGUUUUGUCUUCCACACAAGGCAAAGAGAUAAGCUAGCUUUUCUUGUCCUACAGUUAUUAAAGAAGCUCUUCUCUCAAUCACCAUAUUUCAUCCUGAAAUUUUCCUUGAACUCUCCUCUAAUCACCAAGCAUAUUUUUUACUCAAAAGGCAUCAAAGAGCUACACAAUUUGUUCCCAGGCAACCUCAGCCCAUCUGUUAUCAGGAAAUAACCCACCCUCAACAGUAACAAUGGAUCCCCCUCUUUCCUUCAGGAGGUGUUAUAUUAUGCCUUUCUCAAAAACUGCAGUAUAUAUUUUCAUAAUGAAGUAUGGCCCUCAGAAUUCCUCAGUAUUUUCUGUUUUUAAAAAAAACACAAAACAAAAAUACCAAAAACAUGUGACCAACUGAUCACUUCUUAGAAUACCCUCAAAGCAUAAACUUCUGCACUUCAACUGGAAGGGACCUUAAAAUAUCAUCUAGUCUAGCAAGGAAAGAAAGCACUUGAAUAAGUCAGAAGAAUUUCAGUUCAUGCCACAGCUCUAAAAUGUUGGUGAAUAUAAACAUAUCAUAUAACUUUGGGGGAUUUAAUUUUAUCAUCUGUUAAAAAAAGGAAUUGGAUUAAAUGGUCUGGAAGAAUCCUUACAAUUCUAAUCUCCUUGAUUCUUAUGACAUCUCCCUAGACUAGCCUAGAAAAGUUUAACUCAAGAGGGGUAUUUUUUUCAUUUGCACCAGUAUUUCCCAAACCUUUCUUCUCAUCAUUUAAGCUGCUGAAGAUGAGAUAGACUGCAGGUUAUGUGUAACUUUCACUCCUACUGCUUUUCUAUAUUCA